GGCAACCCUGACGGAGCAACGCCGCGUGUGGGAAGAAGGCUCUUGGGCUGUCAACCACUUUUCUCAGGGAAGAAGCUCUGACGGUACCUGAGGAAUCAGCAUCGGCUAACUCCGUGCCAGCAGCCGCGGUAAGACGGAGGAUGCAAGCGUUAUCCGGAAUUAUUGGGCGUAAAGCGUCCGUAGGCAGUUUAUCAAGUCUGCCGUUAAAGACUGCAGCUUAACUGUGGGCGAGCGGUGGAAACUGAUGAACUAGAGUACGGUAGGGGUAGAGGGAAUUCCCAGUGUAGCGGUGAAAUGCGUAGAUAUUGGGAAGAACACCAGUGGCGAAGGCGCUCUACUGGGCCGUAACUGACGCUGAGGGACGAAAGCUAGGGGAGCG
rnacentral:rRNA from 1 species